GACGAACGCUGGCGGCGCGCUUAACACAUGCAAGUCGAACGGAAAGGCCUGCUUUCCCUUGUGGAUUGCGGGUACUCGAGUGGCGAACGGGUGAGUAACACGUGAGUGAUCUGCCCCCAACUUGGGUAUAAGCCUGGGAAACUGGGUCUAAUUCCCGAUAGGACUGCAGGGUGGUGCCUGUGGUGGAAAACGAUUUUCUAGUGGUUGGGGAUGAGCUCGCGGCCUAUCAGCUUGUUGGUGGGGUACUGGCCUACCAAGGCGGCGACGGGUAGCCGGCCUGAGAGGGUGGACGGCCACAUUGGGACUGAGAUACGGCCCAGACUCCUACGGGAGGCAGCAGUGGGGAAUAUUGCACAAUGGGCGGAAGCCUGAUGCAGCGACGCCGCGUGGGGGAUGACGGCCUUCGGGUUGUAAACUCCUUUCGACCGCGAGGAAGCCACCUGGUUGGAAGGGUGGUGACGGUAGUGGUAGAAGAAGCACCGGCUAACUACGUG
rnacentral:rRNA from 1 species